AGCUUGACACUGAACAUUGAGCCUUGAUGUGUAGGAUAGGUGGGAGGCUUUGAAGUGUGGACGCCAGUCUGCAUGGAGCCGACCUUGAAAUACCACCCUUUAAUGUUUGAUGUUCUAACGUGGACCCGUGAUCCGGGUUGCGGACAGUGUCUGGUGGGUAGUUUGACUGGGGCGGUCUCCUCCUAAAGAGUAACGGAGGAGCACGAAGGUUGGCUAAUCCUGGUCGGACAUCAGGAGGUUAGUGCAAUGGCAUAAGCCAGCUUGACUGCGAGCGUGACGGCGCGAGCAGGUGCGAAAGCAGGUCAUAGUGAUCCGGUGGUUCUGAAUGGAAGGGCCAUCGCUCAACGGAUAAAAGGUACUCCGGGGAUAACAGGCUGAUACCGCCCAAGAGUUCAUAUCGACGGCGGUGUUUGGCACCUCGAUGUCGGCUCAUCACAUCCUGGGGCUGAAGUAGGUCCCAAGGGUAUGGCUGUUCGCCAUUUAAAGUGGUACGCGAGCUGGGUUUAGAACGUCGUGAGACAGUUCGGUCCCUAUCUGCCGUGGGCGCUGGAGAACUGAGGGGGGCUGCUCCUAGUACGAGAGGACCGGAGUGGACGCAUCACUGGUGUUCGGGUUGUCAUGCCAAUGGCACUGCCCGGUAGCUAAAUGCGGAAGAGAUAAGUGCUGAAAGCAUCUAAGCACGAAACUUGCC
rnacentral:rRNA from 1 species